AACCAUCGCUAGGGGUGCAUGACACGCUGAGAGGAUGAACUCCAACCCUUAGAACCUGAUCCGGGUAAUGCCGGCGCAGGGAAGCGGCCGGUUACUGCA
rnacentral:ncRNA from 2 species